rnacentral:rRNA from 1 species
UACGUAGGGUGCAAGCGUUGUCCGGAAUUAUUGGGCGUAAAGAGCUCGUAGGCGGUCAGUCGCGUCUGCUGUGAAAACUCGGGGCUUAACUCCGGGCCUGCAGUGGGUACGGGCUGACUAGAGUGCGGUAGGGGAGACUGGAAUUCCUGGUGUAGCGGUGAAAUGCGCAGAUAUCAGGAGGAACACCAGUGGCGAAGGCGGUUCUCUGGGCCUGUACUGACGCUGAGGAACGAAAGCGUGGGGAGCGAACAGG